CUCCGUAUAAAACCCGAUUGUACAUUUGUUCAAUUCUGAGAUGAGAGAAAAACUGCCCUAUGGUGGGAAGUAAGACAUGUUUGCAGCAAUGCUGCCUUGUUAUUCUUUACCCCACUGAGAUGUUUGGGUGGAAAGAAACAUAAAUCUGGCUUACGAGCGCGUCCAGUCAUAGUACCUUCCCUUGAACUUAAUUAUGACGUAGAUUCUAUUGCUCACAUGUUUGUUGCUGACCUUCUCCUUAUUAUCACCCUGCCCUCCUACUACAUUCCUUUUUGCUGAAAUAAUGACAAUAAUAAUCAAUAAAAACUGAGGGAACUCAGAGACCGGUCCCGGUGCAGGUCCUUGAUUUUGAAAGACCAUGGAGAGGAUUUUCUUGUUGGCAACAAAUUCAGCUGGGCAGACAUACAGCUGUUAGAAGCUAUUUUAAUGGUGGAAGAACUCAAAGCUUCUGUUCUUUCUGACUUCCCUCUGCUAAAGGUUCGAGUGCAGUGGCAUGAUCAUGGCUCACUGCAGACUUGACCUCUUGGCCUCAAGCGAUCCUCCCACCUCAUCCUCCAGAGUAGCUGGGACCACAGGCAUUUAAAAUAAGAAUCAGCAACAUCCCUACAAUUAAGAAGUUCCUGCAGCCUGGGAGUCAGAGGAAGCCACCCCCGAUACCCACUAUGUUGAACUUGCCAGGAAGAUAGUGCUGCUCUAAUGGCAGCAGGUUGCGUGAUGACAAACAUGAUGAUCCAGUCACAGCACCAGCAUGUGCUGUCUGCAGAGGAUAAUAGAAGCAAACUGUAGAUCCCAGGAGCAAAGUGUCUGAAAAGAACAAAACCAUGCUGCCAUUAACAGCAACGCUGAUUAAAUGUAGUAUAAAAUCAUUCAGAUGUGUGUGGCUUUUUAAAGUCUGUCAGUUGUGGAUGAUAGUCUACAACUUUUAUGAAAUAAAUGUUCUGUAUAAAUAAAUAGGAG
rnacentral:lncRNA from 1 species